GCAUUGCAUGGAAACUGCAUGGUAUGGGAGCAGGAAUCCAGAAGAAAAGGCACUUAACAGCCUUUUUAAUUGUUUUCUGCCGGAUCCAAAAUAAGUUCUGCUGAACUUCGAACUUUCCAUGGAGAAGUCCUAACAGUGUAACUGCAUGAGAACUGCUGAUGCAAGAUAAAACAACAGAAGAUGAGGAAGGACACCACUUUGAUUGGGACAACACAUCCAUCCUAGGACAAGCCAAACAGAGACAUGCACGAGAAUUCCUAGAAGCAUGGCAUUCCAACCGGAACUCCAUCGAAAAAACACAUUGAUUUGGAGCCAAUCUACCAUCCCCCGAGAAAAAGAACAGGAAAUGACAUCACCAACCCAAGGAAACCUAACCAGAUAAAUAGAAAGUGGGACAUAACACCAGCGCUUCGUCGGAGGCUCACUGAUGAUGUUACCUAGAAUGGUGACGAAACGUCUGAAAACUAACCUUCCAGCUCAGCGAGCAAACUCACAUCCAGAACAUCUGAUUUAUGUUCCACUGAGUUCAGACUAUUGGCCAGACAAUGAAAGUGAAAGUUAUACCCAGUAAGAAGUGUCGAGCAAAUUCACUGGAUCUAGAUAGGGGUCAGGAAUAAAAUGUUAAGGAUAUAAAGGAGCUCUUAGUGCUCAGUGUGUGACAAUGAAUUAACUAUUUUCAUAGAAUCCCCACAGUUUGGAAACAGGCCCUUCAGCCCACAAGCCCACACUGACCCUUGGAGCAUCCCACUCAGACUCAUACCCCCAUAACCUACCUAAUCUGUACAUCCCUGAACACUACAGGCAAUUUAGCAUGGCCAAUCCACCUAACCAGCACAUCUUUGGGCCGAGGGAGGAAUUCAGAGCACCCAGAGGAAACCCAUGCAGGCACAGAGAGAUUGCGCAAACUCCACACAGUCACCUGAGGCUGGAGUCAAACCUAGAUCCCCUGGCGCUGUGAGGUAACAGUGCUAGCCACUGAGCCACCGUGUCUUGAAUCAUCCUAAACUUGCUGAAAUCUUACCUAAAACAGUACUUUCAGGUAGGAAAUCGCUCACUGAACAAUUGCUACAUAUCAUUAAACUAAAAGUUAGGACAAAUUUAAACUGCAAAUUGAACUACAGUGAGAUAGAAAUCUGAGAAGGCACUUGACGUCUGUUUCCACUUGCUGCUCUAAUGGAUGGGAAAUCUUGUUCAGGAAAUCUCUGGAAACCAAACUAGCAUCAUGGUUCAUAUUCUAUUUACAUCAGACAUGAUUUACUGGAAAACAAGUAUGUAAAACUUGCAAAUCUAGGCCUCGAAAAAUAGAUUCAUGCUGUAGCCUGUGAACAAACCAGCAGUGUGAUAAAAUGGAUUUGUCCCCAUGUAAUGUUAUUUUUAAAUUGCAUUUUUGAAUUGCAAGGAAUUAAUUUCCAAAGCUAGCUCAAUAUUUUAU